rnacentral:rRNA from 1 species
UACAGAGGUCUCAAGCGUUGUUCGGAUUCAUUGGGCGUAAAGGGCGCGUAGGCGGCUUGGCAAGUGGAUGGUGAAAUCCCUCGGCUUAACCGAGGAACUGCCAUCCAGACUGCUUUGCUUGAGGCCGGGAGAGGUGAGUGGAAUUCCCAGUGUAGCGGUGAAAUGCGUAGAUAUUGGGAGGAACACCAGUGGCGAAGGCGGCUCACUGGACCGGUUCUGACGCUGAGGCGCGAAAGCGUGGGGAGCAAACGGG